GUGAUGAGAGGCUGUCUUGUUAGCCAAAGGAGACUGCCUGUUUGCCAUUCAAGAAGACAUUUCAUGAAUGUGCAGUUUAUAAACACUCUCCUGCGAGGCCAGAGGCAAGUCAUCCUUGGCUACAAAACAGAAACUCCAAUCU
rfam:Corchorus capsularis cultivar CVL-1 contig13737, whole genome shotgun sequence.